rnacentral:tRNA from 1 species
GGGGAUAUAACUCAAUUGGUAGAGUGUAUGCUUUGCAAGCAUGAAGUUAUCGGUUCGAGCCCGAUUAUCUCCA